UACCUGCUUAGGGGUGCAACCGGAAGAACUUCUAUGUAGGGAGUAGUUCUGAUGCUUUGAUUGGGAAUCUGCGUGUGAACACCAGAAGGUCCUGUUCCCCGAUUGGUUCUUGAUUGAUCAAUAAAGAUGCUAGUGACCAAUGGCUGGGCAGAAGAGGCGGGACUUCCAGGUUCUUGUAGGCAGGCUAGGAGACACAGAACAGGAAAGAAUAUUCGCAAUGCUUAGGAGGGUGAGAAAGGGAGAGAGCGAGCCACCAGUUAUGUGAGGUCUUGUGUGGAGUGGCCAUUGGCCGCUUCCCUGAUGGGGCCUGGGGUAGCAGGUGGGAGAUUAGAAACGUAACUAAGCUGAGGACAGAUUUACAGAGGUUGAGCUGGGAAUGAAGAGGUUGCUUCUCGGCAAGGGUUCCUGGGAUGCUGCCACAGUUCUGGACAUCACAAAGACCAUCACGCUCAGCUUAGCUAAGGAUUGCAUAACUUCUAACAGGAAGGACAUUUUUAUUUCCUCAAGUGACAGCCAACCUUAGAACUGAAACAUGACUUUGAUAACUGUUUUUAAAACUUGUUGCCCAAAUUCUGGAGUCACUCCCCAGUGACAAAGUCAAUCAAGGUUCAGGAAAGGAGGCAAGACUGUCAGAUGCCUGGGGCUUUGAUAUCCAUCCCAAAUUGUACUUUUCCUCUUUCCGGAUGCCCAGAAACCUCACAAGAUAGAAACUUUCUUUUUUGACCCUCCAGGAUUCUGUAAGUGCCCGAGUUCCCACCAGCAACACUUUGAUUUGCAAAGAGACCUGGCAAGGUGCAUGUGAUUCCCCCACCGAGUUUGGGAUGAAAUCCCAGAAAGGCACGAAUAUACUCUGUCUUCACUGUGGCUAUACUGUCAGGUUUAUCUGAAAACCAUCCUGACAUCUCCUACAAACAGGAAAAAACAAGGAAACCUGAAGCACUGGCCCCCAUGAUCUCUGCUCUUGCAUCUGCUUUCUUUACCCCAGGCUUCAAGGCUGGUGUCCAGUUGGAAUCACUCUGCUGGUUCACUUCUUAGGAACAUGAAACAAGGAACAGAAUUUAUCAGAGUCCCGCUAAAACUUCUGAGCUGGAGCCAGACAGGGUCAGGGUUUUAUUUGACACACCAAGCAAAAUGAUGCCAACAUGCCGGUCUGUGGUCAAAGAGCAUCACCAACACCACCACCAUCACCAUCAUCACCAUCGUCACCAUCACCACCAUCACCAUCGUCACCAUCAUCACCAUCAGCAGCUGGAUGGGAAGCAGGGCAGAGAAUGUACAGAACGGGUGGUAAAAAUCACCCUAUUGCCUCCUUCCCUACAUGGAGUGGGUUUCAAACUUAUCCCAGCUCAGGACAUCUGUUCUUUCUGUCUGUCUUCUUCGGUCACAUUUCCUGUGACUUCUGAUAAGCCAGUUCCACCCUGAAUAAAAGGCCCCUUUGAAGGAGUAAGGUGUGGCUGAUCAGACCAUCUUAUGAACUGCCUUCAUUAAUUUUCUUCAAACUGCUUCUCUGAAACAAGCCUUCCAUAUCUGCUUGCUUGCUUCUGAUUAUUGCUCUCCUCCAUCCCAGAUAUU
rnacentral:lncRNA from 1 species